ACGGGUGCAGCAGGCGCGAAACCUUUACAAUGUGCGAAAGCAUGAUAAGGGAACUCCGAGUGCCAGUAUCUAAUACUGGCUGUCCUUGUGCCUAAAACGCACAAGAUAGCAAGGGCCGGGUAAGACCGGUGCCAGCCGCCGCGGUAACACCGGCGGCCCGAGUGGUAGCCGCUAUUAUUGGGUCUAAGGGGUCUGUAGCCGGCUNGAUAAGUCCUCUGGGAAAUCUGGNUGCUUAACAAUCAGACUGCCAAGGGAUACUGUCGAACUUGAGACCGGGAGAGGUAAGAGGUACUUCAGGGGUAGGAGUGAAAUCUUGUAAUCCCUGGGGGACCAUCUGUGGCGAAGGCGUCUUACCAGAACGGGUCUGACGGUGAGGGACGAAAGCUGGGGGCGCAAACCGGAUUAGAUACCCGGGUAGUCCCAGCNGUAAACGAUGCUCGCUAUGUGUCAGNNACGGUGUGACCGUAUCUGGUGCCGUAGGGAAGCCGUGAAGCGAGCCACCUGGAAGUACGUCGCAAGAC
rnacentral:rRNA from 1 species